AUAUCACGAUGAAACACCGUUUUCCGUACGAUCACAGAAAGUUAAGCAACGUCGAGCCUGGUCAGUAUCUAGAUGGGGGAACGCUUGUGAAUACUAGACGCUGUA